CCUACGGGAGGCAGCAGUAAGGAAUAUUGGACAAUGCUCGCAAGAGUGAUCCAGCCAUGCCGCGUGCAGGAAGAAUGCCCUAUGGGUAGUAAACUGCUUUUGAACUAGAGAAAAUCCCAGUACGUGUACUGGGCUGAUAGUAUAGUUAGAAUAAGCAUCGGCUAACUUCGUGCCAGCAGCCGCGGUAAGACGAAGGAUGCAAGCGUUAUCCGGAUUCAUUGGGUUUAAAGGGAGCGUAGGUGGACUGAUAAGUCAGUGGUGAAAUCUCCGAGCUUAACUCGGAAAUUGCCAUUGAUACUGUUGGUCUUGAGUACAGUUGCUGUGGGCGGAAUAUGACAUGUAGUGGUGAAAUACAUAGAGAUGUCAUAGAACACCGAUUGCGAAGGCAGCUCACAAAGCUGUAACUGACACUGAGGCUCGAAAGUGCGGGGAUCAAACAGGAUUAGAUACCCUGGUAGUCCGCACCGUAAACGAUGAUUACUCGCUGCUAGGGGGCAACCUUUAGUGGCUUAGAGAAGACGAGAAGUAAGUACACCGUCGGGUAGGUACGCCGGCGACGGUAGAAACGUUAAAGGUAAGUUAGUUACGGCGUUGAGGACGNGCCGACGGACGACGACGAGGGAGGUAGG
rnacentral:rRNA from 1 species